GACUUCCAGAAGGGAGAAGUACCCUCCUCACCCCUCUUCUUCCCCACACCCGUCCUCGCUCGCCCGCCGGCCCCUUUCCGCACCUCCUUCUCCCCUCAAGUGAGAAAAGCCUAGUUCCCGAGCCGGUGUACGCGGUUGCCUUACCCCUCCCCGCUCCCACGCGGGUGCCCCCUCCAGCCAUCGCUACUGCCACCACCUCGGUUCCACUCAAUCGAUUUUUGCUGCAUGUCAACACUUAUUCCCGGUCUUCAGCUCAAAGGACUAUUCUCAAGGAGCUAUGCUCAAGGAACUGCACCUAGAAAGCUUCAUCCACAUCUGAGCCUGGUUGAGAUGACAAGAUUCUAGCCUUUGAAAUGUUGCUGUAAUGGGUUGAAACUUUUGGUGGCUUUGAGGUGUGAGUAUCAUUUACCUGUGGGAGGGAGAUUAGUCAAUGAGAGAUAGAGGAUAGACUCCUGGGUCAACCUUCAAUAUGGUGCUCAAGUAAUUCUUGCUUCUUGGUAUUCACGCCCCUGUGUAGUCCUUCCUUCCCCACAUUGGCUUGUAUGAUCAAUAGCAUAUUAUGGAAAUGACAAUACGUGGUUCCUAAGACCAGGACAUAAAAGAUAAUUGCGGCUUCUGCCUUGCUCUCUCUUGGACAACUCACUCUUGAGGAAGUCAGAGAUCAUGUCAUUUCAUGAGGACACUCCAGCUGCCCUAAUGACAGAGCCAUGUGGUAAUGAUCUGAGCCAGCAUGAACUUGACUGCCAUGUAAGUGAGCCAUCCUAGAGGCAAAUCCUGGAGGCGGCUCCAGUCAAGCUUUCAGAGGACUGUAGAUAUAGCUGAGAUUUUACCCAUAACCUCGUAAGAGACACUAAACCAGGAUUACCCAGCUAAGCUGCCCUUAAAUUCCUGAGCCACAGAAACUGUGAAAGAUAAUAACUGUUUGUUGUUGUUUUCAGCCACUAGAUUUGGGGGUAAUUUUUUUUUUUUUUUUUUUUUUUUUUAAAANAAAGCAACGGACAACUAAAACAGUAAACUACAAUCUCAUUAUAAGGCAAAAGUUGAAAUGACUGCUUAAAAAUGUUAUGUUUUUUGACUGCAUCAAUUGAACAAAGGUUCCAUGUCAGAGAUGGUAAUAGUUCACUUCUAGACUUAUAACAAUUUAAGAUAUUGUAUGUAGUUUGAGUCAUAUACUUUGAAAGACACUGGCAAACACAAUGAGAGCACUAAGGACUAUCAGGAUAGCGAAGACUUAACAAACUAUAACAUGAAGAGUACAUGAGAACACCUGGUGAAAAUCUGAGUAGACUUAGGGAUGACAUGACAUCUGUACAUGUGUUUAAAGCAUUAGCACAAGAAACAUGUAAUGGCAUAGCCUCUCUUCCUUCCAAGGGGAGAAACGAAGAAAAGGCUACAAGUUAUAUAACAGUAGAUUUUAAAUAACACAGAGAAGUAUUUUUUGAGGCUUCCAGUUAUCUAACAAAAGAAUGAUUUCUUCAUUGGAAGAGUUGAAACACAGGCUAGAUUAUCACCUAUAAAAAAUGUAGUACAGAAAAAUUCUGGACUAGGAUGUUGGAUAAACUUCGCAAAAUGUCACUAGGCUACUUUCCAAUCUGAUCUAAGAUAUAUUUAUUCAGUUACCUUCAAUAAACAGCAAAUUUCUAGGAACUCCCUUACACAAACCUUCAAAGUCUUGUAGAAGUUUCAUCAGACAACACAAUAGAUAUUUUGCAGAUCCUUGAAAUGUAAUUAGUAUUUUCCCAGUUACGUGCGCAUCUAAGAAACAAAGCAGAAAGACAACUACAGAAGGAAGAUACCACUUAUUCCCUUGUUCUGAAGAUUAAAAAAAAAAAAAACCCAAACUUUUCUGGGGUAGAUGCAUUUUCUAAAGCUAAGAUUCCGAUUCAGUUUUGGCCUCAUUUUAAAGAAGAAUGUUGUGGAUUAGAUUGAUUUGUAAGAUUUAAAGACAACUUGCAUAUCAAAGUGCAAAGACGGUAAGCAUAAUUCAUUUUCUUCUAUGAGAGUCAUUUCAUUCUCUACUAUUUGAGAAACAUCUGCAGGAUCCAUUAUGCGCCACACAUGUAAGAGUUAAGCUUUCAAUCAACCAAGCAAAGUCAUAUAAUUGUUGAUGACAGAGUCAGGAAAAGAUCUGGGGAUUCUUAAUUCUUAAAGUAAUAUAUUUUUGAGGUCUCUUAAGAACUGUAUUAUUUUUUCUAGAUAAUAAAAAUAAAAAAACUACAAAGGAGGUACAAAUUAUUAUGUAUAAAGUAAAUAAACUACAGGAAUAUAUUGUACGGCACAAGGAAUACAGCCAAUAUUUUAUAAUAAUCUUAAAUGGGGUAUAAUUAUAAAAAUAUUGAAUCACUAUGUUGUAUACCUGAAACUAACAUAAUAUUGUAAAUCAACUAUCCUUCAAUAAAACAAAAAGAGCAAAAAAAUUAGAAUAUGAGUUGAUGUCAUCUUUAAAAGAUAUCUUAAGAAUUAUUGCUAGGAAAAUAUUUGCAAUUAUAAAAACAACAUACCUGUAAUACUUUAUUUAUUAGAUAAUUUUGUCUAGUGUAACAAUAUUUCUAUAAACAAAAUUGUGGAAAACAAAACUAUACUUCUUUUCAGUUGUCUCUGAAGUUAUUAAAGAAUUUUUCUCAGUUUUACUGUCUAUAAAUUGGGAUUAAUAUUUAUACAGAGCAUAUAUGAAUGUUAUACAAUCUCUGAUUUAUCUUUUGUGCUUUGAAGAUGAAGAUUAUGAUAAUUGUGAAAUACUUUAAAAAUAGUUUCAUUUCUCAAAUUUAUUAAGACAGUGAUCUGUGUUCACUGAAUAAUGCACAUUAAAAUGCCAACCUUAAGUCUGAAGUAAACAUUUUUUUUUUUUUUUUUUUGAUGUUACGCAGGCUCGGGGUCCUGAGAUCCUCCCAGGGAAUGUGAAAGCCCCUUCUCAGGUUGCUGUCUUAGAAAAAUCUCAUGUUCAAGAUCUUUUCUUAUCAUUGAUCCUCCAGGCUUAGCCUCCCAAGUUAUUUUUCCAUCAUCAUUAUUUUUAUUUUAUAUUACCGGUAUAGAUUAAGUAGAAAAAUAUAUAAGGCAAAGUAUUCAUAAAUACAUCAACAUUUAAACAUGGAUACUUGCCUUUCAAAGUCUUAGUUAAUAUGCCAAGAUUUUUAGAUUUUAUUUCAAAGUUCUUAAGUUCUUUGCUUUAAAACUAAGGGAGGAUGUCUGCUUUUUUCACUUUUUACAAAAUUGUUUCUAGCCUAUGAGCCUUCACCCAGUCCCUGGGAUCCACUGGGAUUAACAUUUAUAAGUUGCAAAUACACAAAGAGCCAAGGGCCAAGGCUUUCCAAAUAGGUAUAAACUUGCUUUUCCUGUGAUAGUAAAUGAGGUAAUCUUAAUUAUCAUUAAGGAGACUAGAGAACACUCACUCAUUUUCAGCAUAUACUGCAAUUAAAUUCAAUUUCUUUAAAAACUGAGUUGAACCGGGUUUAUAAUCUGAAAAAUGCCUAAGAAAGUAUAUUUCUCAUAAUGAUAGGAAUACUCACUUUUCAUAUUGGUUGGUUAUUUAUGUGUGACAAUGUUAACUAUUUAAAAUACUGAAAAAUUAUUACAUUUAGUUCCCUUCUUAGAAAGACUGAGGGCUUUUUAAUUCUAAAGGCACUGUUACAUUAUAUUUGAAGAUUUAGUUUUAAGAACAUUCUAGUAUAAAUAACUGUAAGGUUGAAUGUCUUUGAACAUGGAGUAUAAUUUUUUAUUGCUAUGUACUUAUUUCCUACAAUGGAGGCUAAUCUCACUUCAUAUCAUUUUGUUUUUUUUUUAAAUUGAAGUAUAGAUGAUUUACAUUUUUAACUUCAUGAUUUUAAAAGAAAAUAAACAUUUUAAUGUAGAAUGAAUGGAUUUCUAUUUUUUCAGCUGUCUCUAUAAAUCAUAUGCCAAUAUCAAGAGAUUGCAGAAUUACUGAUAUAUAGAACAUUUAUGAAAGUUCAAUAUUCCUUUUCUUAAAGUCAUAGCUUAAAGUAAGUUUUCAGUGUUUGACCUCAAAGAAAAUUAAUCCAUCCUCAACUUGUGCAAUCCUUAGCCUUAGUAUAUUAAUUAUGGUUCUUCCUUUGUGGCUCUUAUAUUUACACUUCAAUUCAUAGCAAGAUAAUAUUUGAAAUGACACUACCAGUGCAACAAAGGUUAGGCAUCUUCAUAUUUUAGUCAUAGAGACUUUGAUACAUUAUUAUAGUAGACAAAAGCUGUAGAAAUAAAUACAUACUAUUUUAGAUGGCCUAAUAAGAAAGAAGAGAGAGAUUCAGUAUGGAAUACACUGACCAUUACCUGAGAUUCAUGAGUCACCUCUCUUCUUUAUUCAUUUUUAAGUAAAAAUAAGGAUCAACUGUCAAUUCACUAGCACAAGUAUUCAGACUGCAUUUCUUUAAAAAACGUUUUAAGGAAGAGUUUAGGGAAUGAAGUUUGGAGAACAUCUGGCCCAUCCACAUACAAAUAAAUAGUAGUAAAUACCUGACUUGGAGUUGCCAGAAUUGACCAUUUAUAUUCUAAGCAUGGCUCUUAAACUGAAAGACUCUAAAAUUUUUCUCUAGCUCUGAGCUGUUAAGACAGUUUCCCAGUGAUU
rnacentral:lncRNA from 1 species